UGAAUCCUACGGGGGGCAGCAGUGGGGAAUAUUGCACAAUGGGGGAAACCCUGAUGCAGCGACGCCGCGUGAGUGAAGAAGUAAUUCGUUAUGUAAAGCUCUAUCAGCAGGGAAGAAAAUGACGGUACCUGAGUAAGAAGCCCCGGCUAACUACGUGCCAGCAGCCGCGGUAAUACGUAGGGGGCAAGCGUUAUCCGGAUUUACUGGGUGUAAAGGGCGUGUAGGCGGGGACGCAAGUCAGAUGUGAAAACCACGGGCUCAACCUGUGGCCUGCAUUUGAAAC
rnacentral:rRNA from 1 species